rnacentral:rRNA from 1 species
GACGAACGCUGGCGGCGUGCUUAACACAUGCAAGUCGGACGGAAAGGCCCUGCUUUUGUGGGGUGCUCGAGUGGCGAACGGGUGAGUAACACGUGAGUAACCUGCCCUUGACUUUGGGAUAACUUCAGGAAACUGGGGCUAAUACCGGAUAGGAGCUCCUGCUGCAUGGUGGGGGUCGGAAAGUUUCGGCGGUUGGGGAUGGACUCGCGGCUUAUCAGCUUGUUGGUGGGGUAGUGGCUUACCAAGGCUUUGACGGGUAGCCGGCCUGAGAGGGUGACCGGCCACAUUGGGACUGAGAUACGGCCCAGACUCCUACGGGAGGCAGCAGUGGGGAAUAUUGCACAAUGGGCGGAAGCCUGAUGCAGCAACGCCGCGUGCGGGAUGACGGCCUUCGGGUUGUAAACCGCUUUCGCCUGUGACGAAGCGUGAGUGACGGUAAUGGGUAAAGAAGCACCGGCUAACUACGUG